GACGAACGCUGGCGGCGUGCUUAACACAUGCAAGUCGAACGGAAAGGCCCUGCUUUUGUGGGGUGCUCGAGUGGCGAACGGGUGAGUAACACGUGAGUAACCUGCCCUUGACUUUGGGAUAACUUCAGGAAACUGGGGCUAAUACCGGAUAGGAGCUCCUGCUGCAUGGUGGGGGUUGGAAAGUUUCGGCGGUUGGGGAUGGACUCGCGGCUUAUCAGCUUGUUGGUGGGGUAGUGGCUUACCAAGGCUUUGACGGGUAGCCGGCCUGAGAGGGUGACCGGCCACAUUGGGACUGAGAUACGGCCCAGACUCCUACGGGAGGCAGCAGUGGGGAAUAUUGCACAAUGGGCGGAAGCCUGAUGCAGCAACGCCGCGUGCGGGAUGACGGCCUUCGGGUUGUAAACCGCUUUCGCCUGUGACGAAGCGUGAGUGACGGUAAUGGGUAAAGAAGCACCGGCUAACUACGUGCCAGCAGCCGCGGUGAUACGUAGGGUGCGAGCGUUGUCCGGAUUUAUUGGUCGUAAAGGGCUCGUAGGUGGUUGAUCGCGUCGGAAGUGUAAUCUUGGGGCUUAACCCUGAGCGUGCUUUCGAUACGGGUUGACUUGAGGAAGGUAGGGGAGAAUGGAAUUCCUGGUGGAGCGGUGGAAUGCGCAGAUAUCAGGAGGAACACCAGUGGCGAAGGCGGUUCUCUGGGCCUUUCCUGACGCUGAGGAGCGAAAGCGUGGGGAGCGAACAGGCUUAGAUACCCUGGUAGUCCACGCUGUAAACGGUGGGUACUAGGUGUGGGGUCCAUUCCACGGGUUCCGUGCCGUAGCUAACGCUUUAAGUACCCCGCCUGGGGAGUACGGCCGCAAGGCUAAAACUCAAAGGAAUUGACGGGGCCCCGCACAAGCGGCGGAGCAUGCGGAUUAAUUCGAUGCAACGCGUAGAACCUUACCUGGGUUUGACAUGGAUCGGGAGCGCUCAGAGAUGGGUGUGCCUCUUUUGGGGUCGGUUCACAGGUGGUGCAUGGCUGACGUCAGCUCGUGUCGUGAGAUGUUGGGUUAAGUCCCGCAACGAGCGCAACCCUUGUUCACUGUUGCCAGCACGUUAUGGUGGGGACUCAGUGGAGACCGCCGGGGUCAACUCGGAGGAAGGUGGGGAUGAUGUCAAGUCAUCAUGCCCCUUAUGUCCAGGGCUUCACGCAUGCUACAAUGGCUGGUACAGAGAGUGGCGAGCCUGUGAGGGUGAGCGAAUCUCGGAAAGCCGGUCUCAGUUCGGAUUGGGGUCUGCAACUCGACCUCAUGAAGUCGGAGUCGCUAGUAAUCGCAGAUCAGCAACGCUGCGGUGAAUACGUUCCCGGGGCU
rnacentral:rRNA from 1 species